UCAAAUGAAAGCCUGCUGAAUCAUGACCGAAAAAGAUGAGAGGUUACCUUCACUCCUUGGAAUCGUGAACAAACAACGCUUGAAUGGAGGAGCAAUGAAUCACUGACACCGGACAAAGGAAACUAAGGAAAGUUCCUCCUUUAUGCUACGAUGGGCCUCCAGAUUUUCGAUUUCCCCUCUUCUUGUUACGUUGAUGGUUUCUUCCCAGCUCUCCCUGACGCUUUCUCAACCUUCCAGCACUCUCUCAAACCUCCCUCGUCAGUUUCUUUCUUCCUUUCCCGUCGGCUUACUCUCCAAAAGCUCUCUAUCUUCUCCUCAGUUUUUACUCAUUCUUUGGUCUCUCUCCAUUUUGCCCAGAUUUUUCUUUCCGCCCUCACUCUAUCCCCUCGGUAGGUUUCUUUUCUUUUGCUUGUGUUUCUCUCUUCCGAAUCUUUCUUUCUUUUUUUGCGGCUGUAGCUUUCUUUUGCUAUUUAUACGGAACCUCCCAAACUCCUAAACCCUUCACUGAAUGGUCAGGAUGAAGGCAGCCCUCUGCCUUCAUCCUGCCCUUCAAUGGCACGUACCAAGUUAGCCCUUUGGAAGCUGCCAAAAAUGCAGCUUGCAGGCCGCGAUCUUUUUUUUUUUUUUUUUUAGUUUUCAAGAAAAUUAAUUGAUUAACAUUGAUAACUAAUUAACAAAAUACAUAAUAAUAAAAGAAAACUAAUGAAGAAAAGCUAAAUUAAAAUGAAACGCUAACGCUAAUUAUUCUUUUUUCCCUUUCUUUUCUUUUUCUCUUGUUUUUUCCAAAUUAAUAGAUGAAAUGGUAAAAUAAAGUAAAAAACAGUAAUUUAAUUAAUCGUCAAGUGAAAAUGAAUAAACUAAAAAUAAAAAGCGGCAAAACUGCUAUUUUCUACUUUUCGCUUUCAUUUGUUUAUUUUCCACUUUCAUUUUUUGUUCUUUGCUUCUUUUCUUUUUUUCCUUUUUUCCUUUUUCUCUUUUUUUUCAUUUUUUCAUUUUUUAUGAUUUUUCAUUUUCAUUUUUCUUUCAAAAAAACAUUGAAUAAAAAUUACAAACGACUAAAUCAUAUUUUUUGAAUGCUUUUUCUUUUUUUCUUUUUCAACAAAUUCUAUGAUAAAACUUAAAAGUAAACAUAAAACUGGAAACUAAAAACUAAAAAUGAGCACGACAAAUAAAAAACUAAAAAUGAAAUUACACCAAAAGUUUGGUGUCUACAGUUUGCCCCUCUUUGUCUGAGUUUUGGAAAAACUUGAGACAAAGAAGUAGACACCAAAACUUACCUGUGUUAUUCAGCUGCGAAUUACUCAAACGAUGGGGACUGACCCCUGACGGGAAAUUUAAAAAUCGGGACUGACCCGAGAUAGAAAUUUAAACGGGACUGGCCCGAACAGGAAUUUAAACGGGACUGACCCGAACAGGAAUUUAAACGGGACUGACCCGAACUUUAAACGGGACUGACCCGAACAGGAAUUUAAACGGGACUGACCCAGACAAGAAAUUUAAACGGGACUGACCCGAACAGGAAUUUAAACGGGACUGGCCCGAACAGAAUUUAAACGGACUUGAACCGGGACUGAUCCGAACAAGAAUUUAAACGGGACUGACCCGAACAGAAAUUUAAACGGGACUACGAACAGAAAUUUAAACGGGACUGACCCGAACAAGAAAUUUAAACGGGACUGACCCGAACAUGAAAAAUAAAACGGGACUGACCCGAACAGGAAUUUAAACGGGACUGACCCGAACAAAAAUUUAAACGGGACUGACCCGAACAAGAGUUUAAACGGGACUGACCCGAACAGAAUUUAAACGGGACUGACCCGAACAGGAAUUUAAACGGGAUUCACUGGGGAAGUUUGAGACAAUGAAUUGAAUUUUUACCUGAGAGUAGUUCAAAUUUUUGUACCUAGAGAGAGAUUGGAUCUCUGUAGUUGAAGCGAUGGCCGAUGUUGGUCCUUAAAACCCAACUUUGCAAAUAACAUUGCUUUAGGUUUGAAAAAGAGAAUGAUCGCUGUCAUUUGUGAACGCAGUGUUCCUGCAAGAAAAGAAUAAAUAAUAAUGGAUUUGCCACCAUUAUUUGAUCCGGUUUGCCUUGAGAAUCGUGUAAACAUGAGUCUUGUACUAUUUUUGCCUCUGUUCCGCGGCAUCCGUCUUGGUCGAACUUGUGACUUUGCAAAUUCUAAGACUGAUAAAAUACGGAUUGACCACGUCACCCAAUCCAGGUGGUAGCUUUGUUGCAUGUUACUCCCUGUAUCUGAUGAUUGAAUCCCCUAUUUUUGCUCAAACCUUUGGGUUUAUCACUCAUUUGAAUUCAAUGGUAAAAGAAUGAUGCGUGAAAAUUUGUCAUAUAACGAUCAAUGUACAUGCAAGAUUAUUUCCUAUGUCGGGCAAAGAUGAGCAUGCGAAAGAAUGUAGACAAUCAUAAGCAGUCAUACACAAAUAAUUGAAAACAACCAAAAGAUUCAUAAAGAUACAUUUUGCAAAAGAAUAUUUGUAAAGAACAAUACAAAUUUAGCCAACGAAUAUCAUAUUCGAGACUUCGGAUAUUUUCUCCUCGGAAUCCGAUAUUGGCAGAAGUAUCACAAAUAUGAGGAAAAGUCCAAAUGAACCAGGUCACCAGCUGUUCCUCCCCGCGCUUGUCUGUUGCGAAAGACCCGCCUUGGCGCCCUUUCGGGUUUUCACCAAGGUUGCCCCUACCCUUUUUGUUUUUGCUUUUUCUUUUUCUUUUUGAUUUUUUUUUUAUUUUUUUAUUUUUACAAGGCGCCCUUUCGGGUUUUCACCUAAAGAAUAAAGACACGUCUCGACCAUGAUCGACUCAGAAAUAUGAGUUAAAGGUUUCAGGCAUCAGUAAAAUGCACUUCCCUUGUGGAUUAGGCGAAGGCAUUACGGACAUCACUUGCCAGUUGAUUAUCAAAUUUUGCUAAUAGAAAUGCGACAAAUGACGGAAGCCAGGACUUUGGGUUUUAUAAUGAGGUCAGGUGGGGUGUUUUUCCAGAAAGGUUAAGGCUUGAAAGCAAAUUCGAUGCCAAGGGUAAAAUAAACUGAGAUUGCCCUAUUUGAAAUCAUUUCCGAUUUUGAACGAAACCAGGGAAAAUUUGCCCCAGUUUGAUCGGAUUUUCACUCUCUGCAUUUUCUUCAUUGCAUUUUCCUCACUCUUGCAUUUUUCUUUGAAAACUAAAUUUGCCCCAGUGUGGGGUUCUUUUCCCUUUCUUUUGCUCUUCUCUCUUUUAAAAUUAAAAUUUUGCCCCAGUGUGGGGUUUGCAAUUCUCAGGGGUUAUCAAACGAAAUUUGUCAAUUCUGAUGGCUCAAAGGGGACAAGUAGAGAUAAAAUAUUUUUAGUGUAAAAGAAGAUGGCCUGACUUGCAUUUUGCCAUUUGCAUGAAUUUCUUAAAGAAAAUUUGCAUGAUCAAAUGAAAAACUUUUUGCACAUAUCUGAGUUGAUAGGUUGAGAAAAAGUUCGUCCAUCCAUUUCUGCUAGAAUAAGGGCUCCGCCAGGUAAUACCUUUUGGACAAUGAACGGCCCUUGCCAGUUUGGAGCGAAUUUGCCCUUAGCUUCAUCUUGCAUCGACAAAAUUCGCUUUAGCACUUUGUCACCUUCUUCAAAUACCCGCCGAUGGACUUUUUUGUUGUAAGCCCGGGCCACACGUUUUUGAUAGCACUGACCAUGACAGAUAGCAUUGAAUCGCUUUUCAUCGAUCAAAGUCAAUUGUUCAUGGCGCUGCUUGAUCCAAUUAGCUUCUUCCAAUUUAGCUUCUUCCAAUUUAGCUUCCAUAAGGAUUCGCAACGAAGGAAUCUCAACUUCGGCUGGUAACACAGCUUCCAUUCCAUACAUGAGUGAAUACGGUGUUGCCCCAGUCGAUGUCCGGAUAGAAGUCCGAUACGCCAUUAGUGCAUAAGGCAACUUGUCAUGCCAAUCGCGAUGCCUUUCAGUCAUUUUGCGGAUAAUCUUUUUCAAAUUCUUGUUCGCGGCUUCUACGGCUCCAUUCAUCUGAGGCCUAUAAAUGGCGGAAUUGCGAUGUUUGAUUUUGAAUUGCUCACAUAGUCCAUCUACCAUGUCAUUGUUCAGAUUCUUGGCAUUGUCCGUGAUAAGCGUCUCGGGUACUCCAAAGCGACAGAUGAUGCGAUCUCUCAAGAAAUUGGCUACUACCUUCUUCGUGACAUGUUUGAAUGACUCCGCUUCAACCCAUUUGGUAAAGUACUCGAUCGCCACCAAUAUAAAUCGAUGUCCAUUUGAAGCAGGAGGAUCGAUUGUACCAAUCACGUCCAUACCCCACAUUGAACAGGGCCACGGGGCGGUCAUGCUAUGCAACUCAGUGGGUGGAGCGCGUAUAAUGUCACCGUGCAUUUGACAUUUUAUACAUCUCCGGACAAAGUCUAUGCAAUCAUGCUCCAUAGUAAGCCAGAAGUAUCCGGUUCUCAUAAUUUUCUUCGCUAGCAAAUGGCCAUUCAUGUGAGGUCCACAAACGCCACUAUGCACUUCUUUCAUCAUAUAUUGAGCUUCAUCUUCAUCAAUGCACCUUAAAAGGUUCAAAUCCGAGGUUCUUUUGUACAACACUUCUCCAUUUAAGAAAAAUUUUGAAGCCAUUCUACGCAGAAAACUCUUGUCUUUUGUACCAGCAUGCUGAGGGUAGGACCCGGUUUUGAGAAACUCUUUAAGAUCAUUAAACCAAGGAGUAGUAUCCGAGGACUCGUCUGCAGCCCAGCAGUGGGCUGGCUUGUUUUGAAGUUGAAUUUGGAUUGGUUCGAUCUUCAAUUCAUCUGGAUAUUGGAUCAUGGAAGCCAAGGUGGCCAAAGCAUCAGCAAAUGCGUUUCGAGCUCUCGGGAGAUGCCUAAACUCCAAAUUUUGAAACUGCUUGGCCAAAGUGAGCAGACUACAAUGGUAGGGUAGAAUUUUCGAAUCUUUGGUUAUCCAUUGCUUCAAAGUUUGGUGUACGAGCAAAUCUGAAUCACUAAAAGCUAUCAACUCCUUGAUUUCCAUCUCCAAAGCCAUUUUGAGACCAAAAAUGCAGGCUUCAUAUUCAGCCAUGUUAUUCGUGCAAGCGAAUUGCAAUUUGGCAGCGGCAGGGUAGUGCUUCCCUUCGGGUGACACCAAAACAACUCCAAUUCCAGCUCCGAGAGAAUUCGAAGCUCCAUCGAAGAAAAGCCUCCAUUCAGGACUUUGUUCACUUAUAUCAUCUGCAGCGCCUACAAAUAGGACCCUCUCGUCAGGGAAAUAAGUACGGAGUGGUUGAUAAUCAUCAUCCCUUGGAUUUUCCGCCAAAUGAUCAGCUAUAGCUUGCCCCUUGACCGCCUUUUGUGAGGUGAAAACAAUAUCGAAUUCUGAGAGAAUUAUCUGCCAUUUCGCCAAACGCCCAGUCAGCAUCGGCUUCUCCAAAAGAUACUUCAAAGGAUCAGACCGGGAAAUAAGAUACGUGGUAUGACUCAACAGAUAGUGUCUCAACUUCUGGGCUGCCCAGGCCAAUGCACAGCAGCUUUUCUCAAUGAAUGAAUAAUUAGCCUCGUACUGCGUGAACUUUUUGCUUAGAUAGUAAAUGGCUUGUUCUUUCCUUCCAGAGUCAUCGUGCUGACCUAGAACACACCCUACUGCUCCUUCAAGCACGGAUAAAUACAUAAUCAAAGGUCGGCCCGGUUUGGGCGGCACUAAGACUGGUGGAUGCAACAAAUAAUCUUUAAUCUUGUCAAAAGCCUGUUGGCACUCCUCAUUCCAAUACAACGGCACGUUCUUCCUCAAUAAUUUGAACAACGGCUCGCAUGUGGCAGUUAGUUGGCCAAUGAACCUCCCGAUAAAAUUGAUCUUCCCUAAAAAUCUUUUCACGUCCUUCUGAGUUUUUGGCACUGGCAUGUCUCGAAUUGCUUUGAUUUUCGCCGGAUCUAUUUCUAUGCCCUUCUUGCUAACAAUGAAUCCCAACAGCUUACCCGCAGGUGCUCCGAAGGCGCAUUUCGCAGGAUUUAGCUUUAAAUUGUACUUCCGCAACCUCUCGAAUAAUUUCUUCAGAUCAACCAAGUGGUCCUCUACCCUUUUAGACUUGAUUAUAAUAUCAUCCACGUAGACCUCCAUCUCCCGGUGGAUCAUAUCAUGAAAUAGGGUUGUCAUGGUCCUCUGAUAUGUUGCUCCAGCAUUCUUUAAACCGAAAGGCAUGACUCGGUAGCAAAAGGUACCCCAAGGGGUAAUGAAAGCAGUCUUCUCCCUAUCCUCCUCUGCCACCAAAAUUUGGUGGUAGCCAGCAAAACAAUCGCAAAAGGUUUCAAUCUCAUGUCCGGCAGUAUUGUCUAAGAGAAUGUGAAUAUUUGGUAGAGGGAAAUCAUCUUUAGGACUGGCUUUAUUAAGGUCUCUAUAGUCAACGCAAACUCUCACCUCUCCACUCUUUUUUGGAACAGGGACUGGAUUUGAAAGCCAAAUUGGGUAAUGGGAAACAAUGAUAAUGUUGGUUUUGAGUUGUUUUUCAAUUUGCUCUUUUAUUUUGAGGCUUAUAUCUGGUUUGAAUUUUCUGGGUUUUUGUUUUACGGGUGGAAAAGUAGGGUCUGUGGGUAACCGGUGCACUACCACAUCAGUUGAAAUGCCAGUCAUAUCAUCAUAGGACCAUGCAAAGACAUCCUGGAACAUGGUCAAGAAUUCAAGCAUCUCCUUUCUCUGCCUUUCAUUCAAAUGAAUACUUAUCUGCACCUCCUUAACUUCAUCCUCAGUGCCAAUGUUAACCUUUUCUGUUUCUUCCAGGUUCGGUUUUGGUUUUUCCUCAUAUUGUUCAAGGUCCUUUGCAAAAGAAUCGAAUACCUCCUCAUUAUCACUCUCGCUUUGGAGUUCGGAUUCACAGACCUCCAAGUCGUGAGUGAUAUAGAAAUUGCCAUUAUCGUAUUCCAGAACUGUGAUAUCCAAAGGGUCAAAUAAUUUUAUUUUUGGCCAUCUGAAAGAAUUAACGAAUGUGGGAUAAUAAGCAAAUAAGCAUACAACAAACAAAUGAACAAACAAUAUGAAUAUAAACAAGCGAAUAAACAACAAUGACAAGAACAACUUGUGCAUUUUCAUAAAACCUUUGAUUGAAAGCAAAUGGAAAUGAAAACUUAACAAUAUUUACAUGCACAAACGUUAGUCAAAAAGGAAAAUUAUUUUCAUUGGCUAUUUACAGAUGCAAAAGUAUUUUCAUGAAUUCACAUGAAUGAUAAACCCCUUUCAGUUUACCGAAACUCCUUCCGAACGGGCAGGGACUCGGCUGUCCAAUUAGAAAUUGACCCUUCAGGGAUGUCAGGAAAGUCAGCCUCAUCUGGAAAACUAUCUUCAAAUGUUGCCCCUACGAACAAUUGGGCCAAACUAGCUUCAAUUUCUUCAACUGGAUUAACCUCUGAUGUGACAACCUCUGUUGGUCGUGGAAAAGUAUACCAUGGUGGUGGAAUGUCAAAAACCCUUUGCCUGCCCUCUUUCUCUGCUCUUUUGCGCUCUUUCAUCUCUUUGAUGUCCUUGGCGGUUGGUUGAAAACCCAAACCGAAGGUAUCCCUCUUUUCUACUAUCUUUACUGGCUUCAGGAUCCCUUGCAGUUCACGCCCCAACCCCUUGUCGAAUUUGUAUCCUCCACGAAUCAUUUCUCUGGCCAUCAUUACACUGGCCUUUGAGAGAGUUUGUUCCUCCGUGGUUAUCCAACUUACGGAGACUAUAUCGGAUGUGCUGUGAGGGGACAUGGUAACACUUUGACUACCCUCCUUUUUAACUCCAGAAUCGGUGAUCACCAGGCAGUCCUCUUCAGCAAAGAUAGUGAUUAGUUUGUCAUUUACCACGAACUUGAGUAAUUGAUGCAACGAAGACGGCACGGCCCCAGACUUGUGAAUCCAUGGCCUUCCAAGUAAAAUAUUAUAAAUGCUCGGGAAGUUCAUGACUUGGCAAGUUAUUUGAAAUUGGGCGGGCCCCAUCUCGAUUACUAAAUCUGCCUCUCCUAUUGGCUCCCUCUGCGCUCCAUCAAACCCUCUAACGAUAGUCCCUGAAGGCCUCAGCUUGAUGUCUUGCAACCCUAGUUUCUCUAAGGUACUCCAAGGACAGAUAUUCAGUGCGGAUCCAUUAUCGAUUAACACCUUAGGCAGCAUUUUUCCAUUGCACCUCACUGUUAUGUACAACGCCCUAUUAUGUCCGAUGCCCUCCGUCGGCAAUUCAUCGUCGGAAAAAACAAUUUGUUUGUUGAAUAAUACGCUCCCAACCACGUUUGAAAAAUUAUCAACAGAAAUGUCCCUCGGAAUUUGAGCUUUAGUUAAUACGUCGAUCAAUGCAUCCCUAUGCACGUCUGAAGAGAAAAGUAAAUCCAACAUGGUUAUCUGGGCAGGUGACUUGCUUAGCUUUUCGAUUAUGUUGUAUUCACUUCUCUGGAGUCGUUUAAGGAAAUCUACGGCUUCUUUCUCGGUGAUGGUUGGCUUAAUGGGAGGCUCGGAAUUCUUUGCUUGAAUCGGAAUAGUAGUUUCAAAUGGACUUACAGUCCUCCCCGAUCUGGUAAUCACUGACACCUCUUUUUUUGUAGUUGAAUUUUCCCCGAUCUGUAUAAUAGGUUCAUCGUAAUUCCACGGCACUUGUUGCAGGCUCAAAACAGGCUCUUGCCUCGGGAAUUCGAUGAAUACCGGCUUCAAAGCUUCACUCUCUGCUGGCGUGAGAUCCAAGACAAAAGGCUGGUUAUCUUCUUCGAAUGGCAACUCUAUGAUGAAUGGUUGGUCUGUGACCCCAAAUACCUCAGCUUCUCUUGCCAAAUCUUUGAAUUGUUCCAUAUACUCCGUGUCAUCCAUAAUGACCCCAAUGGUAUUAACAUGGUCCGGCAAAGGGUUCCUAUUUACGUUCGGCCCUUGCGCCUCCCUUUUCCGGAUUACAAUCUCCCCGGCUUCAACCAUAUCUUGGAUUUUAUGUUUAAGCGCCUUGCAAUCAAAGGUGGCAUGUCCGGGGGCCCCAGAAUGAUAAGCACAGACAGCUUGUGGAUUAUACCACGCGGGCAUGCCAUAUGGGUAGGUAGGAGGGGGCACCGUACCAAUUUUCCCAGCAGCCUUUAAUUGUUCAUACAAUUGAUCCAGAGGCCUGCCUAGGUUGGUAAAUGUACGGCCAGGGGGUCGGUUGUAAGGUUCAGAAGGUUGAGGGUGGUUGUAAACAGGUCUAUUUGGAGGCGGGAAUCUUGGGUUAUAUGGAGGUCGAGGUCGGUUUUGGGGUGGAUUUGGUUGAGAAAUUUGAAAAGGGGCUGAAGGUGGGUUAGUAUAGUUUGAGCGAGGUCGAGGGUGGUGGAUGUUGGUAGUAUAUACAGGGUGUGGGUUUGAGUAGUAAUGGUAAGGUUGCUGGUAGGUUGGGUUGGGCUGGUAUCGGGGUCGGGGUGAAGGGUUGUGGUUCCAAACAAAGGUUGUAUCUCCUUCUUUCUUUUUGAAUUGUGGUUUCUUUUCACUGCUUCCUCGCCCUUGCAAAGCUUCCACUUGCGAUUUCAGGGCAGACACAUUAACAAUUUUCCCGGCUCGUACAAAGUCGUCGAAUUCUUCAAGUUUAUUUACAAUUGCCGCGAAUGAACAUCCAGUCAUACGGAAAAUUUCUUCAAAAUAUGGAGGAUCAUGGGCCUUGAUGAAAGUACGGAUGAUUUCUUCCAAGUCAUCGGAGGCUCCACCUUGGCAGCUAUUUUCCUCCACCUCUUGGCAUAAGUCUUGUGAUCUUCGGAGGGUUUUCUUUUGGUUCCUUCCAAGGUGGUUCUAGUCGGUGCCAACUCACAAUUAUACUCAUAUUGCCUUACAAAAGCCUUGGACAAGUCAAUCCAGGUUCUUACGUCUUCAGGUUUCAAAUUUGAAUACCAGUCAAGUGCGUCCCCUUCCAGACUUUCAGGGAACAACCUUAGAGGCAAGUUUUCAUCGUCCACAGGCUUUCCCAAUUUGUUUGCAAAUAGUCGGAGGUGCGUCUUGGGAUUACCCGUCCCAUCGUACUUGUUAAACUUAGGAGUUUUGAACCCCUCAGGCAGUUGCACAUUCGGAAAGAGACACAGCUCAUCGUAAUCCAAAACUCCUUGCUUGUUCAGCACCUGACUCUUCCUCAUGAAUUCAUCGAAACGAUCCAGGCGCUUUAAUAACUUCACAUCAAUGGGAGCAGAGGAUCCUCCCACCUCUGGUUUGGUUUGAAUAAAAUGGUCCGGCAGAUAAGGCUCAGUGGUGGGGUAAUAAAAAGCUUGUGUCUCAGGUGGUAUAUUUGCCGUGACUUGAGGUUGUGGGCCUUGCAUAUGAGUAGGAAAAAAUGAAGGAUUAGGAGAGUAAGUGUAUGGCAGAUGAAUGGUGGGGUAGGUGAAAGUCCCUUCGGGUGGACCUUGCAUGGGAUCAGUAGUUUGAACUGUAGGAAUAACAAAGGGUUCAGAUUGCAGUUGUAUUACGCGCGGAAGCUCCGGCUGUACCCCGCUACUGACAAGCUCAUCUAUUAAUUUCUUUUGGGUGGCCAUUUCAGAGGCCAUUUCCCCAAACUUAGCAAGUAACUCGGCCAACUGGACUCCAGGACUCGUGACUUCCAGCUGUGUAGUCGCUGUAGUCUUAUCGGAUGAUUCUGGUUGAAUAUUCAUGUUUACACGAUUCCUUUGAGCUUUACUUCGGGAUCGCGUAAUAAUGGGGCUUUUCCGGAAAGCUAUUUUUGGAAAUUUUACCUGAGAGUGCAAAAGACUGCUUUAGAUAAACCAAUCGUUAUUGAAUUUCUGCAAUUCAUUCAAAAGAGAAAAAGAAAAAGAAAAAAACAUGAGUUAGUAACUAUUUGAACAAUUCGGAUGCAUGUCCUAUUUGGGGGGCCCUUUUGUGCCAAGGGUAGGCCUAGCAUGAUGCAACCUUCGGGGUAAAAUCCCAUUUCCAAACCUGUAAGUGAAUAUAGAAGCGGAAUUUCUCAUUAAAAUAUGGACAAACUCAGUCCUUCUUUACAACUUCAUUGAUGGUUCGACCAACCAUUCUUACAAAGUCCUCAUGUCUAGCUAAUUUAGUAUGUUGGGAUUCCCUAGAACUCCCGAUACUGAGUUUCCGAAUUUCAUCUUGGAUUUUACCAAAUGCACUCAAUGCCUUUUCCAAUUUCUCGGUCUUUUUGGCCUCUUUCUUCAAUUGUAAGCGGGCGUCUUCCAAUGCUUGAUCGGCUACCAUGAUCUGCAACUGAUGAUUCUCCAACUCUUUCCUCAACUUUUCAUUCUGCUCCUCAAGACUAAGGGGGACCAACGAUGCCCUUUCUCUUCCUUGUUCCAUCAUUGAUUUGAUCCAUUCGUUGUACUCUAAGACGACCUUAGGCUCUGCUUUAUCCACUUGGUCCAAAUGCAAGUUGUCCAGACUACACAGAUUCCCCCAAGCUUCCAGCACCAUGGUCUGGCAUUCGGUGACUGUAUUGAGUUCGAUGUUCCCCAUCCUUUGUAUGGUCGGCACUCGCUGCGGAUACCCAAACUGUCUCAUAACUCGUUGUGGUACAUACGCAAUCAAUCCACCAGUGCUUGCUAACGGGAUAAAAUCAAGUUGUGUUGUCCUGAAAGCUGGAUCCCUUACUUUCGUCCAAUCAAGAACCCAUUGUAUCUGAUCCGAAGUCAAAGCAUUGAAUUCUUGAAUAAACAAACUCGGAGACUCUAUUCGAUAGUAUUUUCUAACCCUCUCUCGGUGCGACUCAACCCAAUUUGCUGUUGGAAGGCAUGAUCCCAACGGAUUCAGCGUUCUUUUUGACAGAUGUUCCAUGGCCCACAUUUGAAGUACUAGGUUGGAUGCAUAGAAAAACCCCCUCUUCUUUUGGCAUUCAGUAAUAGCGGCGAAAAUGUCAGCAAUGAUAACGGGUACUAGGGUGGGAGUUUUUCCUCUAAUUCCCAAGAACACACUCUGAACCAUGUUGACCGUUGAAAACGUAACUUUCCCAUGCUUUUUCGGAAACAGGAGUAGAUUAAUCAGAGUUAUCCCAAAAGCUAGUACUCGUUUCUCUUCCCACUGUUCUCUACUAACGAAAAAAUCCCCGUGGUGAUGAUCAUAGGAUUCCUUUUCCCCGAAUCGCUUGUAUAAGAACUCCAGCGGGCAUGAUCUUACGUCCGGGUGUUGACUCAUGCUACACUGUUUCAACCCUAAGAACUUACAAAAUUGUUCUCUGGUGCCAUUCAUUGGGUAUACCAUAGGGUGACCCUUCCCAGGCACUUGUAACAAUCCUUCUAUCUCCUCCAGGGUUGGUGUCAAUUCGCACUCUCCAAAUCGGAAAACAGAGCUGUCCGGGUCCCAGAACUCGAGCAAAGCUUGGACAAUGGCUACAUUCGGAGUUAUGUUCAAGAGACUAGAUAAAUGUCCUAUAUGCGGGAAAAGUCUGUUCACUUCAUGUGCCAUGUUGUUCUUCCAAUCCACUAGCUCACGAGGUAUCUGAUUGAGCAUUCUACACGGAGCCAUCUGGGGAAGAAAUUCACUUUAGUACCUUACCUCAGGAUUUUACCCCUUAGGUAAUACAGAAAUAGUAAACGUGUAAGUCCCAUCGGAUUAAAUAUCCGGGACAUGUGGCGGAUUAUUCCUAAACACGGGAUUCCCUACGUGGCAUUCCCUUUCUAUGGUUUAUGCAUGAUGCCAGUUAUUAAAGCGAUGUAAAUAUGCGACAAAUAUGACCUAAAGGACAUGAAUAAUGCAUCGGGGGAAAAAGGUCUAAAAAUGAAAUGUAUUUAUUGAAAAUCAAAUGCAAUAACUGAAAUUUAAACAUGUAAGUUAACCAGUGGGUAAGUCACUAAAAGAGUGCCAAAAGGCCUCUUAUUGCUAAGGCACAUGAAUGCAAUCCAAGAAAACAAAAGAAUGGUUAGUGCAAUCGAUAGUACACAUAACACAUUGGGAGCAAUUAAGGAAAAGAAAUACAAUAAAGCAGGUAAAAGGGGUGGAACCCCUUCCCUCGUGCCUAAUGUGCUUAAGAAAAGGUGAGGCCGACUCUACCCUAGGUUAUUCUAAUAUGGAUGCAUGAGGUUUGGUUCACUAAUGCCUAGACUCGAUAAAGCUUCGGCUCCCAAGCCUUCAGACCUAAAGGCGAAGGGUCAUCACUCCCAGGGCCUUUGAUCGGUGGCUCGAGUGAUCCCUUAGGUAGCGCUAUGGGCGCAGAGCACACCAGCCGCCUACCCAAGGCGAUCGAUCCUAAUCCUACAAGGCGAUGUGGGAAACGCCCACGAAAAACAAAAUAAAAUGGGAUAAAAGCAAGUAAACAUGCACGUAUGAAGUGUUCCCUAUUUUGAGGGAAAGGGGUGAGAACCACGCGAGACUCUAAAGGUGACACACACCCCCCCCAAAUGCAAUGCAAGCGCGAGAUACAUACAUCCAAUCAACCAAACAUACACACGUGAGUGAGGGAAUAGUUUGAUACGCGCGCGAGGCGAAAAAGUCCUAAAAUAGAAAAUGCAACCCUAAUAUCCAAAUGCAAUGCAUAAAAAGGGUAGAAAAAGGAAACGAAUGGUUAAGUCAAAAUGCUUGGACCCACUUAGGAAGUCCCCAGUGGAGUCGCCAACUGUCGCGCCCCACUUUUCGAAUGAAUUGAAUGUGUGAUGGUGUGUGGUGUGCAAUGUGUGAACGUGUGCAAAAUGAAAAGUAAAAGGCCAUGGGACUUAGAAUGCGACGAUUUGGCCAAGUGAAGUUCAAAAGGGUUUUUUGUAUCAAAAAUAGAGUCGCCACUUGGUAUAGAGUUAGGGUGUACCAAGUCACCAAAAAUGAUUUUUGUUUUUGAAUAAAAAAGUAAAUAAACCCUUUUUGAGAACUUUUGGGUCUACGUAACCAAAAGAGGGAUCGGGGGUCACAUUUGACGAAGGGGAAGGCAAGGAUAAAAAUCCAAGGCACCCCUUCGACCUAGCCAAGGCUAGUUGCGUGACUUAAACCAAUUUUUCCUAAUUUUUCUACCCAAGGUAUGUAUCGCGUAUUGGAUAUGUCUAUAUGAAUGCAAAAACCUAGACCUAGGGGGACAUGGGGGAAAUUUCUCUUCAAAGGUUGAGUGGUGCCAAUCACAUUAAUUGUGAAGCCCAAUAAUGAUCCUUUUGGAGAGGUCACACCUAAACCUAAAUGACGUGAAAAAUGAGUGGAAUGCAUGCCAUGUGAAAGUGUGAGUUUGUGUGAAGUGAGAAAAAUGAUAAAAGUAAUAAGACAAGAGUGAAGGUGUGCAAAUGUAGAUGAAAGUACUCGUGUGCGAGUGAAGGUAAAAAUGUUCAUGUGCAAGUGAAGAUAAAAGGGUUCGUGUGCAAGUGGAGAUAAAAAAGUGCAUGUGUGCAAAUGAGACAAAAGUGAAAGUGUAAUGAUAGAGUGGAUUGAGAAUGCAUGAGCCUAAGGAAUUCAUGCAUAUUGGGUACGGGGAGACCUAAAUCGUGACUUGAUUUUCCCUUUGAUUAGAAGGCGAAACUAGCGUGCUAAGGCUAUCGAGUAGCCACACUCGCUCGUUUCCCUUAUCGGAAGGGGACACUCAAGCAAAAUGAACCCUAUAACUAUCAUGAUAUGCAAAAAUCCUAAAAUGAAGGGAAAGGGGGUUCGAGGAGCAUGCCAAGUGAUAAAACUAAGAAAAAUGCAUGAUAUGUGGUGAACAAGCAAAUGAUAUGCUAAUGAGGGGAAAUCCCUAAGGGUCUAGCGUUGGACUAGCCCAUUCUAUGAAUUCCGACUAGCGUUGGACUAGCGGAAACGUACAUUCAUCCAUUCCAUUCAUUCAUGGCUAUGAAAGCAAGUAGACAUGCCAAAAUACUCGUAAACACAUAGCACAUAGCAUUUAGCAUGCUCGACUAGAUGCAAGAGCCUAAUAAAGCAAUUAAACACGUAGCAACAAAAACAAGCAACCAAGGGGAAGGGGAAGUGGACCAGAUGCUCUCCGAGCCCUAUCUAUUACAAGCCAGAAGGUGUACACAUACCCCAUAAAAGCAUAAAGGAGAAGGGGAAAUGGACAAGAUGCUCUCCGAGCUCUAUCUAUUACAAGCCAAGAGGUGUACACAUACCCCAUAAAAGCAUAAAGGGGAAGGGGAAAUGGACAAGAUGCUCUCCGAGCACUAUCUAUUACAAACCAAGAUGUGUACACAUACCCCAUAAAACUUAAAUAAAAGUAAAAGCAAGUAAAUGCAUGCAAGGAGGUAAGGAAAGCGGAGUAGGCAUGCAUAUUCACAUAACACGUAGGAGCACGUAGGGUCAAAUGAAAUGCAAAUGAGGGAUAGAGUGUACCUCCCUUGAAGCGACGCCCCUAACGUAGUGAAAUUACUAAAUUACCCUCCAAAAUAAUAAAAAGGUCAAGGUACCACUUUAAUGAUAAAAUAUAAAUAAUCCAGAUGGCAUUCAUCAAAUCAUCAAAAAUUUCCUCAAAUCACAACUUAAAUAUAGUCAAAAGAUACUUAAAGAUCAAGGAGAAGGCAUGACCUAUUCAAAUCCUAAGUAAAGCAUAUGAUAAGGACCCAAAUGCAACCACUAAUCUAAUCAAGCAAAAUCAAUUGAGAUAUUUUUAGGAAUUUUGAAGGUCCGAGAGCAAAGGAAAGUCAAGUGAGUUAAAAUGCAAUUACUUCAUGACCCAAUAGCAAUAAAUUAGAGCAUUAGUGAGCUUUGAAGCAUUACUGCAAAAUCACGGGGAUCUAAUUGAAGAAAUUAUUCCAUUUGUUGGGUCAUUGUGAAACAAGAGGAGACUUGGAGGUCUAAAAAUGCAAUUUUGGAAAAUAUUUGCAUGCAUGCAAUCAGCAAAUUUCGACCAAAGCUGCAACCAUUCCUUCGGCCAUUUUUACUAUAGUUUCUCGCACACAAUUUCAGCAAUCCCAAGCAACCCCUUACAGCAAGCAUACAAUUCAAGCUAAACUAUGAAUCAGCUCCACUCAACCAUGUUAAUCAACUCUCAAAACACCUCAAAUAAAUAGUUCAAACAAUCAAAAUGAAGCUUGCUGCAUUUUCGGUUUCCAAGUUUGCGGUAAUUUCCAGCAAUACAAACAAAUUCCUCAAACAGAAACUAUUGACCCAAAUCAAAACAUGAGAUUUUGUCGACAAGAUUGAGAUCACAAAUCUGGUUUAAUCAGUAAGAAAAAGAAAGAGAACUGCAGCAAAUUUCUGCUCAUAGCUGAUUGCAAAAAAAAAAAAAAAAAAAAAAACACAACAAGAAAAGAAACAACAUACCCUUAAGACCACAACAAACAUAACCAUUUAACCACUGCCCCCACAAGCGCAACUCAGAAUUAACGAACAAACCUCAGCCAUAUAACAAAUCAAAGGCUGCUGCAACCAAUUGAUAGAAAAUAGGAACCAUGGCAGCAGAUUUUUAUGCUCAAACUUAGGUGUAAUGCAAACAUGAAAGCAAGCCACAGGAGUGUCCAAGAUUCUUUCUAUUUUCCAACUUUUAUAUUCAAGCACCAGAAACUCAUACGAAUGACAACAAAACUUCCAAGUCAAGAACAUGCCCGACACACUACAAAUUCAGCAACCAAGAGAAGGAAAGAAAAGGAAAAAACGAAACGGCUGCAACAAGCCAACAGCUUGAAGCUUGUUGCAGUAGACUCUGAAUCUAACUCUUAAGGGUUUUAACAGUCAAAACAAAUGCUACACGGACCAUUUUUAGACAAAACAAGGUGAAAACAUGAAGGACGCACAGGGGAAAAACGAACGGUUUCUGGUUUCGGGUGAAAUCUAUGGUGGUAUCAUCCGAAAUCAACUAAAAUUUGCAGUUUCAUCAGCGGACAUCCAAGAUUGAUAGCCAUGACAUGGGUUCCCCAUCUCCCAAGAUGCAUACAGCAAAUUAAAAAAAAGGUUUAACAGUCAAAUGAAAGCCUGCUGAAUCAUGACCGAAAAAGAUGAGAGGUUACCUUCACUCCUUGGAAUCGUGAACAAACAACGCUUGAAUGGAGGAGCAAUGAAUCACUGACACCGGACAAAGGAAACUAAGGAAAGUUCCU
rnacentral:lncRNA from 1 species